rnacentral:rRNA from 1 species
AAACAACCCAGUAAAGCCUAGAAAAGCAGAGAUUAAAGCUCGUACCUUUUGCAUCAUGAUUUAGCUAGUAAUCCCAAGCAAAGAGAACUUUAGUUUGGCCCCCCGAAACUAAGUGAGCUACUCCAGGACAGCCUAUUGUAGGGCGAACCCGUCUCUGUGGCAAAAGAGUGGGAAGAACUUUGAGUAGAGGUGACAAAUCUACCGAACUUAGUAAUAGCUGGUUGUCUGAGAAAUGGAUAGAAGUUCAGCCUCACGGCUUCUUAAUUCAAAUUUCGUAUUUAAACUUAAUUAGAUUUCUAAGAAACCGAGAGAGUUAAUCUUAGGGGGUACAGCCCCUCAGAUAAAGGACACAACCUUAACAGGCGGGUAAAGAUCAUAAUUAACCUAAGGUAAAGCAUCCCAGUGGGCUUAAAAGCAGCCACCCUAACAGAAAGCGUUAAAGCUCAGAUGCACCCAACCUUUCCGCCGAUCCCGAUAAUACAAUCUCAACCCCCUUUUAAUAUCAGACUAUCCGCUGCAAACAGCGGAGAAAUAAUGCUAAUAUGAGUAAUAAGAGAGAGCAAACUCUCUCCCUGCAUAAGUGUAUCUCG